AACGAACGCUGGCGGCAUGCCUAACACAUGCAAGUCGAACGAGACCUUCGGGUCUAGUGGCGCACGGGUGCGUAACGCGUGGGAACCUGCCCUUAGGUUCGGAAUAACUCCCCGAAAGGGGUGCUAAUACCGGAUAAUGUCUUCGGACCAAAGAUUUAUCGCCUUUGGAUGGGCCCGCGUUGGAUUAGCUAGUUGGUAGGGUAAAAGCCUACCAAGGCGACGAUCCAUAGCUGGUCUGAGAGGAUGAUCAGCCACACUGGGACUGAGACACGGCCCAGACGAAGAGCGGAGGGAGCAGUGGGGAGGAUCGGAGAAGGUGUUGAGGGUUGAACCGGUAAUGCAGCGUGGAUGAAAAGGGCCAUAGGGGUGUAACGGUCUCCGCCAGCGUAUGAGACGGGACGGGGGGUAAGAGUUAGAACGGGACUAUGCAAGC
rnacentral:rRNA from 1 species